AACGAACGCUGGCGGCAUGCCUAACACAUGCAAGUCGAACGAGACCUUCGGGUCUAGUGGCGCACGGGUGCGUAACGCGUGGGAACCUGCCUUUAGGUUCGGAAUAACUCAGAGAAAUUUGAGCUAAUACCGGAUAAUGUCUUCGGACCAAAGAUUUAUCGCCUUUAGAUGGGCCCGCGUAAGAUUAGCUAGUUGGUGGGGUAAAGGCCUACCAAGGCGACGAUCUUUAGCUGGUCUGAGAGGAUGAUCAGCCACACUGGGACUGAGACACGGCCCAGACUCCUACGGGAGGCAGCAGUGGGGAAUAUUGGACAAUGGGGGGCAACCCUGAUCCAGCAAUGCCGCGUGAGUGAUGAAGGCCUUCGGGUUGUAAAGCUCUUUUGCCAGGGACGAUGAUGACGGUACCUGGAGAAUAAGCCCCGGCUAACUCGUGCCAGCAGCC
rnacentral:rRNA from 1 species